UCCCCCCGCAAGGGGUGUGUUGAACCAUGACAAGCUGGCCUGCUCAGCUUGGGGGUAGCGCUCCGUGCGUCCCCCUCCCCGAACGAUCUUGGCACAGUGCAAAGCCCUGGAAAGAAACGUGACUGCUGGGGGCUGGGGAGAGCCCUCGGCCCUGGAGAGCAGGGAGGUGCGGGGGCGUGGCAGCCUCAGGGCCAAACAAGUGGCAGGAGACCCCCUGCUUCUGACUGGGGAAGGUUCCUGCCCCUUUCUCAGCCUCGAUUUUCUCAUCUGUUAAAUGGGCGUAACUGUGUCUACUUCACCAGGUGGUUGUGGCGGUUCAAUGAACCAGCCCUGUUGGUAAGCAGGGGUCUUCCCUGCUCUCUCCACCAGAAAUGGCAAGGACACCCGGCUGCAGGUGACUCUUUUGAGCCCCCGAGGAUCCCAGAGCAUCACUAUCUCCUCCAGCCUCUCGCUGGGAAGCGGAAGGGACUGUCUCAGGUUCCUUGUCUGCAGGCCACGCUCUCCCCUUCCCACCCCUGCCCGGCGCAGCAAGAAGGGGCGGAAGGACUGGCCGCCAACGGAAGGAGAUUUGAUCGCUGAUAUUGUUUGCAAUUACUGACCUCUGCGUUUAAUGAGGAAGUGGUGUCAGCAAAGGACGGGAAGCUUCACUCCUGGCCACCCCCCAGGACCCGUGUCCCUCCCAGCCCGAGUAGGACGAGCACAGAGUACGUAACCACAUUGUGUACCUCAUGCGGGGGAGGUCCUGGAGAAAUUUCUGGAAAGAGAAAACAACUUUUACUGCACGUAAUAAAAAUGACUCGGGUCAUAAGUAACCCUGAUAGUUGGCUAUAGCGAGUGUAGACUCCAUUCCACGCUCCCAGCCCGCCCUUCCCAUCUGUCUCCUUGCCGAAUCCUUCUUCGGGGAGAUUCUUUGUACCCUCAUUUCACAGAUGAGGAAAUCGAGGCCAAAGAAGUGAAGGGACACCUCAGGUGACACCGUAAGUGACAGAGCCCGGAUGCAAACCAGCUCUGUCUGAAGCUGAGGUCACUCUGUUUUGUCACUUAGGGGUUUGAGCAGUGCCAACACACCGCAUCAACAGAGAAUUAUCACCCUCUCAAACUGGGAAACUGACACCUCUAAAAGCAAAUAUAUUUCCAAACUUGGGGUUAAUGAUAAAGCUGGAAAAACGUAAAAGACUCACUGUUCCGCUCCUUCCUUAUCAAUAUGUGACUUAGAUUUGGAUGCCAAGUCAAA